ensembl:lncRNA
CGGAGAACCCGGAGUAAUCCCAUGUCAAAUCCAGCUGUGUGCAGUUCAUAUGAUGCUGCUGUUUGUUUAGGGUCGUGGGGAGCCUGGAACCUUUUCCAGGGAACUCGGGGCACAAGGACACCCUGGACGAGAGUCACAGGGAACCUGGAGCCAAUCCCAGGGAGCAUCGGGCACACAAGCGGGGUGCCAGUCCAUCGCAGGGCACAAUCACAUACAUAUUGUAGGCCAGUCAGCCUACUUUGGACUGGGGGAGAAAACCAGAGUACACGGGGGAAACCCCUGCAGGGGAGAACAUGCAAACUCCACACACAUAGGGCAGCGGCAGGAAUCGAACCCCCAGCCCUGGUGGUGUGAGGCGAACUAUUAC